AUCGAACGCUGGCGGCAGGCCUAACACAUGCAAGUCGAACGAGUGGCGGACGGGUGAGUAAUGUCUGGGAAACUGCCCGAUGGAGGGGGAUAACUACUGGAAACGGUAGCUAAUACCGCAUACCAUCAGAUGUGCCCAGAUGGGCUUAGCUUGUGGGUGGGGUAACGGCUAACCAAGGCGACGAUCCCUAGCUGGUCUGAGAGGAUGACCAGCCACCCUGGAACUGGGACACGGUCCAGACUCCUACGGGAGGCAGCAGUGGGGAAUAUUGCACAAUGGGCGCAGGCCUGAUGCAGCCAUGCCGCGGAUAUGAAGAAGGCCUUCGGGUUGUAAAGUACUUUCAGCGAGGAGGCGUUACCCGCAGAAGAAGCACCGGCUAACUCCGUGCCAGCAGCCGCGGUAAUAC
rnacentral:rRNA from 1 species